ACAAUGCAGAGGUGUUGGCAUAUGUAGCUAUGAUGACUUAUAUAUUUGUAUUUAUCAUUAAGAUACCAGUUAAAUAAGAAAUAAUUGAGUAAAAAAAUUACAGUCCAAUUUAUUAUCAUGCAUUUUCAAUUACUAGACAUGUACCUUCAAAAUGCUUUAUAUGCAUGACUAAAUCAUCGGUGUAUAUUUUUGACAUGGUUACGAAGCUCUAUACUGCAUAUUAAAGGCUGACAUGCAACAUGUAACACGAAAAAUCGAGACAUGCCUCAAGCUCAUGGUUGAAAGUGUUAGAUCAAAUAUCUAAAGUAUUAAUGCACAUGGGGGAUAUGUUGUCCAUGUUGGACAAGCAAUUAUGUGUCUGAGGCUUAUUUCUUUGUUGUAUAGGAUUGCAGAUGUCACGACCCUGUCCCCCUGACCCCUACCGUCCAUACCUGAAGGCGACAAAGUACGUUUAAGAUUCUAUGACUCUCAUAAUGUAUGAUACUGGCACUGUUACUCUGUGAUACUGUGUUACUCUGUGAUACUGAUACAGAUAUUUCGUG
rnacentral:lncRNA from 1 species